AGCCCACCUGCACAUGUCAGACAGAGACACGAUCCCCAAGAGAGACCCACAGUGGACAAGGCGAGAGGCCCCUGGGAGAACAGCCACUCACCAUGGACUGGAGCUGGAGAAUCCUCUUCCUGGUCACAGCAUCUACUGGUGCCCACUCCCAAGUCCAGCUGGUGCAGUCUGGGGCUGAGUUGAAGAAGCCUGGAGAGUCUGUGAAGGUCUCCUGCAAGGCUUCCGGAUACACCUUCACAAGCUACUAUAUGGACUGGGUGCGCCAGGUCCCUGGACAAGGGCUUGACGGGAUGGGACGGAUCAACCCUAGCUCUGGUGGCACAAGCUAUGCACAGAAUUUCCAGGGCAGAGUCACCAUGACCAAGGACACGUCCAUUAGCACAGCCUUCAUGGAGCUGAGCAGUCUGAGAUCUGAGGACACAGCCAUAUAUUUCUGUGCAAGAGACACAGUGUGAC